rnacentral:lncRNA from 1 species
CACAAAAGCGAAGGGAUAUUAAAGCAACUUGAGAAAUGUUGUCAAUAUAUAUAUAUUUGUUUAACAAAGGUUGGCGUUGACCCGCACAAUGUGGCAUGAGAAUUAUGUGUUAACGCUGAAAUAUCUAUGAUAGUGUAUAGUAUAUCAACAAACACACAACAAUGUCUGGCCAUCAUUAAAAAACAAUCUCUCUAUUUACGAC